rnacentral:rRNA from 1 species
UACGUAGGGGGCGAGCGUUGUCCGGAGUUACUGGGCGUAAAGGGCACGCAGGCGGUGCGGCGCGUUUCGCGUGACAGCGGAGGGCUUAACUCUCCGAGGAUGCGAAAGACGGCGGCACUUGAGGGCCAGAGAGGGACACGGAAUUCCGGGUGGAGUGGUGAAAUGCGUAGAGAUCCGGAGGAGCACCGAAGGCGAAGGCAGUGUCCUGGCUGGUGACUGACGCUGAGGUGCGAAAGCUAGGGGAGCGAACAGG